UAUGNAGAGACUUGACCACCCAAGUACCGUGAAGGAUGACUGCCCUNUGGGUUGUAANCUNCUUUUAUCCGGGAAUAAAGUGAGGNCCGUGUGCCUUUUUGUAUGUNCCGUAUGAAUAAGGACCGNCUANCUCCGUGCCCACCACCCCCGGUAAUNCGGAGGANCCGAGCCGUUANCCGGAUUUAUUGGGUUUAAAGGGAGCCGUAGGCCGGANCCUUAAGUCCAGUUGUGAAAGUUUGCCGGCCCCANCCCGUAAAAUUGCCAGUUGAUNCUGGGUGUCCUUGAGUNCAGUAGAGGCCAGGCCGGAAUUCGUGGUGUACCGGUGAAAUGCUUAGAUAUCCNCGAAGAACNCCGAUUGCGAAGGCAGCCCUGCCUGGACCUGUANCUGACGCCUGAUGCCCCGAAAGUGUGGGUANCAAACAGGAUUAGAUNCCCUGGUAGUCCCAAGGGCCGAAUUC
rnacentral:rRNA from 1 species